AAAGAGCCCCUGGUCAUGUAUUAUUUAUAAAUUUGAGAAAUCUUCAUGUCUCUUAUCUCGUAAGGAGAUAAGGACUGGGAUAUCUAAUCCAAGUCUGAACAAUGGUUUUUCAGCGACUUGGACAAGACCGACAUGGAGAUAGUUAAACUCUUCACGAUGUUGGAGUAUAAGAGAUCUUGAAAAAAGAUUCAGAGAUUCCCUAUUGUUAUGUAUUGGGAUGUUUUUCUCUGAGAAUUUGAUGCAUGAUCUUUGAGUA